ensembl:antisense
GAGUGGGUGAGCAGACUUGGAGGAGGCAGCUCCUAUACAACAACCCCAAGGAUGGCGGGAGAGGACUACCACUCCUCAGGAGAAGCUGUCUGCAUGGGCUGAGCAGAGAUGGCUACAGUGCUUGCUGAAAGCAUGGUGACAAACAAGUGACCUAGAGCCACACUUCCUGCCAGUCAGUGAUGUGGGCUGAGAAGGCACGGUUUCAGUUCGCACCCAUCCUACACCCUCUGCGGCUGACCUACAGGCCUCCUUCCUCCUCCUCAGGCUCGGAGUUCACGUUGCUCUGCUCAGACAUUCGAGCCACCGGUGUGGCUGGUGGAACUCUGGCUAAGGGACCCAGAACAGAACUACCAGAAGGUCUCCCGGGUGUGAUGGAAAGGAGAGCAGGCUGCGUGCCUAGUUUUGAGGCAUACAGGAACUGUGAUUCUCUCGUCUGUGGUCCCUGCUUCUCUCUGGCAUCCAUCUGUAGCAGAGGCUGCUGUGGCUGCUUCUGCUGCUGCUGCUGCUGCUGCAGAGGCUCCAUUACUGUCUCAGGCUUCACCCACAGACUGGCAUGGCUCUCAACCUGGGCACAGCCCAGCAGGCACACUGGGUCUAUAUUUUAAGUGUGUAACCAAAACCACAAGGGAGGAAGAGGAGGGGAAAAUACUAUGUAAA